rnacentral:rRNA from 1 species
CAACUAUUAACUACUAACUUUUCCUCCCCACUGAAAGUGCUUUACAACCCUAGAGCCUUCUUCACACACGCGGCAUGGCUGCAUCAGGGUUUCCCCCAUUGUGCAAUAUUCCCCA